GUCCGUCUAGCUCAGCGUUGUCUACACUGAGCAGGAGACUCUCAUUCCCAGGGUUGUGGGUUCGAGCCCCACGUUGUGCA